rnacentral:rRNA from 1 species
UACGGGGGGGGCAAGCGUUGUUCGGAAUUACUGGGCAUAAAGGGCUCGUAGGCGGCCAACUAAGUCAGACGUGAAAUCCCUCGGCUUAACCGGGGAACUGCGUCUGAUACUGGAUGGCUUGAGGUUGGGAGAGGGAUGCGGAAUUCCAGGUGUAGCGGUGAAAUGCGUAGAUAUCAAGUGGAACACCAGUGGCGAAGGCGAGUCUCUGGACAUUUCCUGACGCUGAGGCACGAAAGCCAGGGGAGCAAACGGG